rnacentral:rRNA from 1 species
GUCUGUUUGAAGUUAUAAACAGUCAGGCCUGCUCACUGAAUAGACUUUUAAAGAGCCGCGGUAUAUUGACCGUGCUAAGGUAGCAUAAUAAUUAGCUUUUUAAUUGAGAGCUGGAAUGAAAGGUCAGACAAAAAGAAAUCUGUCUUAAGUUCAAUAUUAAAAUUUAAUCUUUAAGUGAAAAAGCUUAAAUAAUUUAGGAAGACGAUAAGACCCUAUAAAGCUUUAUGUAAAAAAAAUCUUAACUGAAUUAAAAGUAAUAAAAGUUUUAAUCAAUCUUUAUAUUAUAUUGGGGCGAUAAAAGUAUAAUUAAUUUAACUGCUUAUGUCUGUUACAUAAAUAAGUGAGUUUAUAUAAAUGAUCCUUAAUAGAGAUUUUAAGAGCAAGUUACUUUAGGGAUAACAGCGUUAUUUUUUUUGAGAGCCCAUAUCGAAAAAAAAGUUUGCGACCUCGAUGUUGAAUUAAAAUAUCUAUAUAAUGCAGAAGUCAUAUAAGAGGGUCUGUUCGACCUUUAAAUUUUU